UGAGCAGGCUGGACGAUCGCCCCGAUACGCUUACGCUAUCGAGGGAGGAAAGUCCGGACUCCUAGGGCAAUGGUGGCUGCUAACGGCAGCCGGUUUCGGUUUUCCGAAAUUAGGGAAAGUGGCACAGAAAAUAUACAGCCCAACUUAACUCUAAAGGUUAAGAGGCGAUAGGUGAAAAUGGGAGGUAAGAGCUCCCACAUGACAGCUAGGUAACUAGCGGUGCGUUAAACCCCACCCGGAGCAAGGUCAAAUAGAGAAAGCACUAGCCCGUGCGUUAUGAUCUCGAGUAGACCGCAAAGAUCUUUGCAGCAAUGUAAAGGCAAGAUAGAUGAUCGUCGCCUUAGGCUUUGCCUAGGGUACAGGAUCCGGCUUAUAGGCCUGCCCCCACA
rnacentral:RNase_P_RNA from 2 species